CGCGUAGGCGGUUUGGACAGUCGGGCGUGAAAUUCCUGGGCUUAACCCGGGGGCUGCGCUCGAUACAUCCAGGCUGGAGUGAGGAAGAGGGUCGUGGAAUUCCCAGUGUAGAGGUGAAAUUCGUAGAUAUUGGGAAGAACACCGGUGGCGAAGGCGGCGACCUGGUCCUUUACUGACGCUGAGGCGCGAAAGCGUGGGGAGCAAACAGGAUUAGAUACCCUGGUAGUCCACGCUGUAAACGAUGUGUGCUGGAUGUUGGGCGACCUAGUCGCUCAGUGUCGUAGCUAACGCGGUAAGCACACCGCCUGGGGAGUACGGCCGCAAAGGUUGAA
rnacentral:rRNA from 1 species